UCCUACGGGGGGCAGCAGUGAGGAAUAUUGGUCAAUGGCCGAGAGGCUGAACCAGCCAAGUCGCGUGAGGGAUGACGGCCCUACGGGUUGUAAACCUCUUUUGUCGGGGAGCAAGACCCGCCUCGUGCAGGCGGAGCGAGAGUACCCGAAGAAAAAGCAUCGGCUAACUCCGUGCCAGCAGCCGCGGUAAUACGUAGGUGGCAAGCGUUGUUCGGAAUAACUGGGCGUAAAGGAUGCGUAGGCGGGUAAACAAGUUAU
rnacentral:rRNA from 1 species